rnacentral:lncRNA from 1 species
CUCUUCAAUAGAAUACCUCUUCAAAUAUUUGAUCCCAGAGUUUUGCAGGCUUCUUCCCUCCCGAUCUGUCUGCCAUUUUUCUCUGAGGGCUGCUUUCAGAAGUCAGACUUCCCUGUAAAGGAGAGACUGGGCUGUUAUUGCUUCUUAAUCCUUCCCGGGAAAACUUAGAAGU